rnacentral:rRNA from 1 species
UACAGAGGUCUCGAGCGUUAGGCGGAAUCCCUGGGCUUAAAGCGUGUGUAGGUGGAUCGUUAAGUACCUUGUGAAAUCCCACGGCUUAACCGUGGAACUGCUUGGUAUACUGGCGGUCUUGAGCCAGCUAGGGGCUACCGGAACAAAUGGUGGAGCGGUGAAAUGCGUAGAUAUCAAGAGGAACACCUGAGGUGAAGACGGGUUGCUGGGCUGACACUGACGCUGAGGCGCGAAAGCCAGGGGAGCAAACGGG